rnacentral:tRNA from 1 species
UUAAAGGGAGACCUACCCAACUGAUUGAUUCAACUAGUAAUAGUUGAGGUAAUAUCGAGCAGAUGGUCAACCAAAGGUCGGUCGCUCAAGUAUGAAGAAAACUUUCAAACUAUAAAUUUGGUUCGGAUAUGGGCUUAUGGGCUAUUAGCUCAGGUGGUUAGAGCGCACCCCUGAUAAGGGUGAGGUCCCUGGUUCGAGUCCAGGAUGGCCCACCUGAAGAAGCGUUAGAAGUUAAAAGUAAUGAGUGAGAAACAAAGAUUUGCACUCAAAGCGGAUAGCAGAAAACGAAUCGUCGUGGGGGUUUAGCUCAGUUGGUAGAGCGCCUGCUUUGCAAGCAGGAUGUCAGCGGUUCGAGUCCGCUAACCUCCACUGUAUGAGAUGGAGAAAUAAAAUAUUUAGCACCUAAACUAGGAACGAAGAAGUUAAUAGUUUAGAAUGCUGAAUGUGAAUUCAGCCAGAACCAUGAAAACUGCAUAAUGACGCAAAAGAAUUGUAGGUAGCAAUUUUGUAACUACAGCAAUCGAGAAGUAUAAAAGCUUCGGUGUAUUGGCAGUAGGAAUAAAAUUGUCAACGUACAACACAGAGAUAGUAUAGAUAGA